rnacentral:rRNA from 1 species
AUUGAACGCUGGCGGCAUGCCUUACACAUGCAAGUCGAACGGUAACAGGUCUUCGGAUGCUGACGAGUGGCGAACGGGUGAGUAAUACAUCGGAACGUGCCCGAUCGUGGGGGAUAACGAAGCGAAAGCUUUGCUAAUACCGCAUACGAUCUACGGAUGGAAGCAGGGGACCGCAAGGCCUUGCGCGAACGGAGCGGCCGAUGGCAGAUUAGGUAGUUGGUGGGAUAAAAGCUUACCAAGCCGACGAUCUGUAGCUGGUCUGAGAGGACGACCAGCCACACUGGGACGGAGACACGGCCCAGACUCCUACGGGAGGCAGCAGUGGGGAAUUUUGGACAAGGGGCGAAAGCCUGAUCCAGCCAUGCCGCGUGCAGGAUGAAGGCCUUCGGGUUGUAAACUGCUUUUGUACGGAACGAAAAGACUCUGGUUAAUACCUGGGGUCCAUGACGGUACCGUAAGAAUAAGCACCGGCUAACUACGUGCCAGCCGCCGCUGUAA